UUUAUUUCGAAAAGGGAAUUGCAUUCUUUUACUUUUCGAUAACAAAUGCUUGCGAUACUGGAAUGAUCGCAGUGCCACAAAAGCUAUCGCAACAAACAGCUGUUAUUUGUUAUCGAUGAAGCUGUCGAAAUUAAAUGAUAUUGAACGGGAAUACGGCUACGUGCAAAAGGGAAAAUAUCGUGAAUAUCGAUAUUAUAUCAACAAUUGACAUACACACAAAAAAAAAACAACAUAUUCAGUCUUAAAGUAAACAUACAAAAAUUUGCAGCAUAAAAAGCAAGCAACGAACGCAUCGAAGUAAACAUUGCUGCCGUAAUCUGGAUACAACGAACCGCAGCAGCAUCAGGCGCAGCAGCAGCAUUCCGCCCAACAAGAAAUGUGAACUGUUCGCGCUGUUGGGCAGUUCGAAGGUUUAUGCAAUGUUCUAGUUCUCUGGCAGCAGCAGCAGUAGCAGCAAAGCAAGGAGAGAGCGAGAGCGGAGCAACGGAGCGCCGUUUACGUUGUUGAUAUAUAGUAUAAUAAGUGUGUGUACACAAAUAGCGUGUCGAUCAGCAGCAGCAGCGGCGACAGCAGCAGCAGCGGGCAGCAUCCAAAUGACUGUUACUGUGACCAGCACAACACAUGCAAUGGAGGCACAAGUUAAAGCAACAGCGGGCGGAGGCGGUGGUGAGCAGCAGCACGACGUCGACUUGGCUGCCGAUGAUGAAAUUACAGUUUUGUUAACAAAUAAAAAUUUUCACUUCGACGCCCCAUCCGAAGCGGACGAGGCGUUCGUGGAGCUCAAUGGCGGUGGAGGCGGCGGCGGAGGCGGUGGCAAGAGCGCCGACAUGGAUCUGGAGGCUGCCAUUGGUGGAGCACAUUAUCACGAGCCGGUGGAGCAUCCGCAGGUCACCUGGCUGGAUGACGAUGAAAUCGAUACAUUGGAUCGCGUGACGUUGGACAUUGGCAACAUGUUCUUCAAUCGCGUCGACAGCCAGGACAUUAUCUAUCAACAGAAGAAGAAAAACAUCAAGAUGGUCGACAAAUAUGUGAUGGGCGAUGUGCUCGGCGAAGGUUCCUACGGCAAGGUGAAGGAGGCCAUGAACUCGGAGAAUCUUUGCCGGCUGGCCGUGAAAAUUCUGACCAAACGCAAGCUGCGUCGCAUUCCAAAUGGAGAACAGAAUGUGACGCGUGAGAUUCACUUGCUGAAGCAGCUGAAGCACAAGAAUGUGGUGCAGCUGGUCGAUGUGCUCUACAACGAUGAGAAGCAAAAGAUGUACUUGGUCAUGGAGUACUGCAUUGGAGGCUUGCAGGAGAUGCUCGAUCAUGCGCCCGACAAGAAGAUGCCAUUGUAUCAGGCGCACACCUAUUUCCAGCAGCUCGUCAACGGGCUGGAGCAUUUGCACAGUUGUCGCAUCAUUCACAAGGACAUCAAACCGGGCAAUCUACUGCUGACCCUGGAUCAGACGCUCAAGAUAUCCGAUUUCGGUGUGGCCGAGCAGCUGGAUCUGUUUGCGCCAGAUGACACCUGCACCACGGGCCAAGGAUCGCCGGCGUUUCAGCCACCUGAAAUUGCCAAUGGCCAUGAAACGUUUGCCGGUUUCAAGGUGGACAUCUGGAGCAGCGGCGUCACACUAUAUAAUCUGGCGACGGGUUUGUAUCCUUUCGAGGGCGACAACAUCUAUCGACUGCUCGAGAACAUCGGACGCAGUCAGUGGGUGGCACCCGACUGGCUUUAUGAACUGGAUGCCGCUUUUGCCAAUCUAAUACUGGGCAUGCUCCAAGCAGAUCCCAGUGCGAGGCUCUCACUACAGCAGAUACGCCAAGAUGCUUGGUUCCUGUCCGCUCCAGCGGUGACUGGCCCACCGAUACCCAUUCCUCCACUCAAGGGCGACAAAUACGGACGUUCCUCAGUACUGCCUUACCUGGAAGCCUAUCACUAUGGUAACGAACAGGAUCAGGAAGAUGUCUACUUCACCGAACACGAUGUCAAUCAGGAGUUGGCGCGACGUGCAGCAUCGGCGGCUGCAGAGAUUCGCAAAUCGGCUGCUGCCAAUGCCGCGUGCCAUUUGUAUGAGCCAUCGACAAGCGCUGAGGCUGCUGCGGAGGCUGGCUUGGCCAAUGGCUCGCUGGAGGAGACGAGGGUGAAGAAAAAGGGUUCGGCGAUUAAGAGACGCGCCAAGAAAAUUGUAUCCUGCAUCAAAUUGAGCCAUUGCCGGACAUCGUAGGCGACAUCUCCAGCACCCGCACCCGCACCCCCGAAAAAACUAGUUACUAGAGUAAUAUGGAAAAGUAAUAACUUUGUUAACAAAUUUAUUUAUUAAGCUGAAGAGACAAAAAAACAAACACAUUGAAAGAUCCCAUACAACAAAAAAAAAGAAUUAGAGAAAAGAAAGUUAUUAAAAAGUCGAGUUAGCUUUGAAAGCGAGCGGACAGCAGAAUGCAAGUUAAAAAUCCAAGUGACAAUACCGUGUAUUAUAUGAAUGAUUAUAAUGUGGGAGGAACGAAGAGAGCGAGAAAGAGAGUUAUUAGAUCGUUGAUAUGUAUUAAAUGUAAAGAACAAACAAGAAAUCACGUUGAAUAAUUGCAAUUAGCAAAGAUCCGUUAAAGUAAAUUGCGCGUCGAAAAACAAAAAAACAAA